rnacentral:rRNA from 1 species
UACGAAGGGGGCUAGCGUUGUUCGGAAUCACUGGGCGUAAAGGGCGCGUAGGCGGCCUGAUAAGUCGGGGGUGAAAGCCUGUGGCUCAACCACAGAAUUGCCUUCGAUACUGUUAGGCUUGAGACCGGAAGAGGUAAGUGGAACUGCGAGUGUAGAGGUGAAAUUCGUAGAUAUUCGCAAGAACACCAGUGGCGAAGGCGGCUUACUGGUCCGGUUCUGACGCUGAGGCGCGAAAGCGUGGGGGAGCAAACAGG